AUUUUGUAUGUACCAUAUGAAUAAGGAUCGGCUAACUCCGUGCCAGCAGCCGCGGUAAUACGGAGGAUCCGAGCGUUAUCCGGAUUUAUUGGGUUUAAAGGGAGCGUAGGUGGAUUGUUAAGUCAGUUGUGAAAGUUUGCGGCUCAACCGUAAAAUUGCAGUUGAAACUGGCAGUCUUGAGUACAGUAGAGGUGGGCGGAAUUCGUGGUGUAGCGGUGAAAUGCUUAGAUAUCACGAAGAACUCCGAUUGCGAAGGCAGCUCACUAGACUGUCACUGACACUGAUGCUCGAAAGUGUGGGUAUCAAACAGGAUUAGAUACCCUGGUAGUCCACACAGUAAACGAUGAAUACUCGCUGUUUGCGAUAUACAGUAAGCGGCCAAGCGAAAGCAUUAAGUAUUCCACCUGGGGAGUACGCCGGCAACGGUGAAACUCAAAGGAAUUGACGGGGGCCCGCACAAGCGGAGGAACAUGUGGUUUAAUUCGAUGAUACGCGAGGAACCUUACCCGGGCUUAAAUUGCA
rnacentral:rRNA from 1 species